GUGGGGGAUAUUGCACAAUGGGGGAAACCCUGAUGCAGCGACGCCGCGUGUGGGAAGACGGUCCUCUGGAUUGUAAACCACUGUCCUCAGGGACGAAGAUGACGGUACCUGAGGAGGAAGCUCCGGCUAACUACGUGCCAGCAGCCGCGGUAAUACGUAGGGAGCGAGCGUUGUCCGGAAUUACUGGGUGUAAAGGGAGCGUAGGCGGGGACGCAAGUUGGAUGUGAAAUCUACCGGCUCAACUGGUAGCUGCAUUCAAAACUGCGACUCUUGAGUGGAGUAGAGGCAGGCGGAAUUCCUAGUGUAGCGGUGAAAUGCGUAGAUAUUAGGAGGAACACCAGUGGCGAAGGCGGCCUGCUGGGCUUUUACUGACGCUGAGGCUCGAAAGUGUGGGGAGCAAACAGGA
rnacentral:rRNA from 1 species